rnacentral:ncRNA from 1 species
AGAUGUGGAGAGAUUUGAUUGAUUGCAACCACGAGAAAAAAUGCUAAAACAUUUU